ACUUUUAAUGGACGGCAGCCGUCCGA
rnacentral:tRNA from 1 species